UGUGCCUCUGUCUGUCUGCCCUCUGUCUGUGUCAUUCCGACGCUGUCCACAGAGAUCUACAGCUCUCCCUGUGGUAUGGGCCAAUGUGAGCAACCUCAGAUGGACAGACUGGUCCCAUACACAAGAGAGCCAUGAGAGGAGACGAGCAAACCCAGGCAAAGAAACCAGUGCUGAUGAGCCUUGCGCAUGCCAAGUCUGUAACCGAUGGCCUACUGGAGAUUGAAGACAUCGUUUUACCCCUAAAGUUACAAUUUGAAGAGGAAUGUCCUGGUCUGCCCGGUCGAGCAGAACUACAUCGAAACCAGAGCAACAGUAUCAGUUCAUGUGCCGACUAUCUAACGAUACUGAAAGGCCACGGCGAGAACAGAU